rnacentral:rRNA from 1 species
GAUGAACGCUGGCGGCGUGCCUAAUACAUGCAAGUCGAGCGAACAGACGAGGAGCUUGCUCCUCUGACGUUAGCGGCGGACGGGUGAGUAACACGUGGAUAACCUACCUAUAAGACUGGGAUAACUUCGGGAAACCGGAGCUAAUACCGGAUAAUAUAUUGAACCGCAUGGUUCAAUAGUGAAAGACGGUUUUGCUGUCACUUAUAGAUGGAUCCGCGCCGCAUUAGCUAGUUGGUAAGGUAACGGCUUACCAAGGCAACGAUGCGUAGCCGACCUGAGAGGGUGAUCCGCCACACUGGAACUGAGACACGGUCCAGGCUCCUACGGGAGGCAGCCGUAGGGAAUCUUCCGCAAAGGGCGAAAGCCUGACGGAGCAACGCCGGGUGAGUGAUGAAAGUCCUCGGGUCCUAAAACUCUGUUAUUAGGGAAGAACAAAUGUGUAAGUAACUAUGCACGUCUUGACGGUACCUAAUCAGAAAGCCACGGCUAACUACGUG